rnacentral:rRNA from 1 species
UACAGAGGAGGCAAGCGUUGUUCGGAAUUACUGGGCGUAAAGGGCGCGUAGGCGGCCAACUAAGUCAGACGUGAAAUCCCCAGGCUCAACCUGGGAACUGCGUCUGAUACUGGAUGGCUCGAGUUCGGGAGAGGGAAGUGGAAUUCCAGGUGUAGCGGUGAAAUGCGUAGAUAUCUGGAGGAACACCGGUGGCGAAGGCGGCUUCCUGGACCGACACUGACGCUGAGGCGCGAAAGCCAGGGGAGCAAACGGG